rnacentral:sRNA from 1 species
UUUAAGCCCCUCUGUCCCCAGGACCUAGGGAGGAAGCCCAGGUCCCAGGGGCAGCAGCCAAACUCCCCAGGCCAGAACCCCAGAUUCUGACUCUUCUUAGAUGGCCCUAAUGGCUUCCCUGGAUGCAGAGAAGGCCCAAGGACAAAAGAAAGUGGAGGAGCUUGAGGGAGAGAUCACUAUAUUGAACCAUAAGCUUCAGGACGCGUCUGCGGAGGUGGAGCGACUGAGAAGAGAAAACCAGGUCUUAAGCGUGAGAAUCGCAGACAAGAAGUACUCCGCUAGCUCCCAGGACUCCAGCUCCGCGGCGGCACCCCAGCUCCUGAUUCUGCUGCUGGGCCUCAGCGCUCUGCUGUGAGAUCCCAGGAAGCUGGCACAUCUUGGAAAGUCUGGUUCCUGCUCGGCUUUUCGCUUGAACACUCCCUUGAUCUCAUCAGUUCUGAGCGGGUCAUGGGGCAGCA